rnacentral:rRNA from 1 species
AACGCGAAGAACCUUACCUGGGCUCGAAGCGCAGUGGAAUCCGGUGGAAACAUCGGCGCCCCUUAAAAGGCUGCUGCGGAGGUGCUGCAUGGCUGUCGUCAGCUCGUGUCGUGAGAUGUUGGGUUAAGUCCCGCAACGAGCGCAACCCUUAUCGUUAGUUGCCAGCGAGUCAAGUCGGGCACUCUAGCGAAACCGCCCCGGAUAACGGGGAGGAAGGUGGGGAUGACGUCAAGUCCUCAUGGCCUUUAUGUCCAGGGCUACACACGUGCUACAAUGGUCGGUACAAACCGUCGCAAACCUGCGAAGGGGAGCUAAUCGGAAAAAGCCGGCCUCAGUUCGGAUUGGAGUCUGCAACCCGACUCCAUGAAGCUGGAAUCGCUAGUAAUCGCGGAUCAGCACGCCGCGGUGAAUACGUUCCCGGGCCUUGUA